UACUGACAAUGCCAUCUGUCCUUAGAGUG
rnacentral:piRNA from 1 species